CCCCCCCCCGCCGCGCACCGGGUACCCCUUGCUUGGCUCUUCCUUCCGGCCCCCUUCCCCUCAAGAGCUCCACUCCUAGCACCAGCUUCACCAUUCACCCAGUGGCAGGCACAUUCCUUCCGCUCUCCGCCUGGACGUCCUCACCCUAGAAGGGACUUCUCUGCAUCCCGUACCCCAAGACUAGUGGAGGGGCCCCUUCUGGGCACAUUGCUAGCAUCCUGUACCUCCCCACUGCAGCACUGGCCACCUCAAAACCCCUGGCUUCUCCCCACUAAUCCCUGAAGCCUCAGGAGCGUUCGCUGCUCUCUGCUGCAUCCCCGACACGGGCAUAGCAUUGGCCUUGAGCAGGUGCUCAGGAAAUACUUGUGGAAUGAAUGAUAUGGUUGCAAAUCCUAGCUUCUCUCCUGUAUCUCAGCCUCAUAUUCCCAGCCACCUAGAGCAGUGGCACCUAAACCUAAGUGAUCAUCAGACUCCCCUGGGAGGUUUUUUAAAAAAUUAAAAGUGAAAAGAGCAUCACGUGGGACCGUGUGUUCUGCGUGCUCUCAUUUGAACACGAUGUCUCUGGAAGGCUAUGCAAGAAAUUAAGGGUAUUGCGUGGAGGGAGGCAGGAGGGAGACUUUUUACUCUACUACUUGAUUUUGUACCUUGUGAAUUAUUUACUGGUUUUAAAUUUUAAGUAGAGAACUAUUCAGGAGCCACAGUACGUAAACAAUUCAUGAGCUGAGGCAGACGCAAGGAAUGAACUUCUCCAUUGAAUUGGUGUAUCUGAAAAACUCCCCAAGUAGGGGGACAGCCCCACUUGUAGGUACCACUGUCAUCUCAGAUGCACACGGCCCAGUGCUGGCCUCCUCGUUGACGCCUAAAACUUGCUGGUCUCCCAACGUUCACCUAUCCGUUCUGCUCUCUCCGUGUGCAAGUCUUGUCCAUCCUUCCAAGGCCGUGACAAUAUGGGCUACAAGUGGCAUCCCGGCAAUUGAGAGAUUUGAGUUGGAGAAGAAGGCUUUGAGAGAGCAAAGUCACGGCGACCCGGGAGACAGAGACAAGAGUCACAGAAAAUCACAGCAUAUUUGCAGAGGCUCGGAAUCUAGGAAUGUCAAAUCUUUCAUCAAUAAAAGGAAAACAGCAAAUAAAAAUCUGCUGGUGGAGCUGUACCAGCACCCACAUAAAUUUAACAGCGCUGUGCCGAACAGGCUUCCAAAUGGGGUGAACUUCUGUGACAUGGUGGGCAAUGUGGUCCGGGCUGAGAGAAACCGCCUUAGUGGCAAGUCUUUCUGCUCCGAUAGAGAAUUAGAGAAGUUUCUGUCUUCUCCUUCUCCAAGAGCCAUAUGGCUGGAUAGCUUCUGGUGGAUCUUUCACGAGAGGUACCAGCCAAACAAGGAGAUCCAGAAUAAGCUGUUUGAUCGGAUAUCCCAACACUACGCGUCUCUCUUGUUGCAUGAAUCCAAAUCCCACUAUGAAGAGGCUCUCUUGAAAAGGCUGCCAUCACUUCUGAGUAAAGCCCUGUACACCAGCUUCUGUUGCUGCUUCCCACAGUCCUGGUUCAACACGCACGAUUUCAAGUCGGACAUCUGCAACACAAUGAGCCUGUGGAUUUCGGGUAUAUAUCCUUGCCUACAGAGCUAUAACAGCUGGGACUACUCGGAACUAGAUCCAGAGAGAUUCCGGAGAGAAGAAUUAAUUUUGCAGAGAAAACGACUGUUAAAGAGAAGAGAGUUUCCUUUGUCCACUUCUAAGAGCUACGCCUUCCAGAAGUCUACCCAGAGCAAGGAAGCCCAGGGCCCGAAGGAGUCUUCCUGUAUAAAUUCAACCACGGAGAAAGGUCCUGUGGCCAAGAAGAAAUCACGGGAUGGCUCACAAACACAGAAUGCCACAAAAGAGAAUCGCCGGCAGACUCUGGUCUUGAGGAAAGCUGCAAACCAAGUCAAGAGGAUAUCAGAAGCAAGAGAAUAUGAGAAUAUGCUUCCCAAGCAGUCUUACCCAGCCUGCAAAAGCCCUGAGCUGACUUUGAACUUCUUCAACAUUUACGGGAAGAGCCCUCUGAUUGUGCACUUCCUCCAGAACCACGCCAGUCUGCAGCAGCACGGCAAAGACGUGUUGAUAGUCAGAAGGGAAAAAACCAAGAGCAUCCCUGAGUCCAUCCUGACGUACGCCGAGGUCAUCGAACUGACCCUAAUCAACAUGAAGAAGCGGAAGGAAAACCUUCGCGUGCUGAACUGGCUCCACUGGAAUGAAUGGAGUUAUUUUCACGAAUACCUAAAGGCACUACAAGAAAACUUCCUCAGGGAGGUGAAGAAUAUCGAUCAAAGAGCAUUGGAUCAAAAGAAGGCAAAUCGCAUGUUCAUCCAACCUUCAACCUUCAUUGAAGAGUCCCCCGACAAGAAAUUUAGAGGAAGCCAUGAGAGGGAGAUGGCGUUUAUUUCAAGGAAGGAAAAGGAGGGGAGGAAACGAGAAGCAAGACAGACGUUGAGCCUCUCUCCCUCGUCACUCUCAAGCCCUGAUUAAUUCUCUUCCCUGGGACUAGGAAGCUCCCGCAGGAGCCCCGGAUAUUUCCGCCAAGUAGGGAAGGACACCAAGGAGUCAAAACCAACUCAGAAAAAGGAAGUCAGUUUCCAUAACCCCUCACCUUGUAACACACCUGGAUGAAUCCUUAUCCAAGAAUUGGGAGAACUUUUGGCUGAAGCCUGCCCAUGUUGUUGGG